GACGAACGCUGGCGGCGUGCCUAAUACAUGCAAGUUGAGCGCUGAAGGUUGGUACUUGUACCAACUGGAUGAGCAGCGAACGGGUGAGUAACGCGUGGGGAAUCUGCCUUUGAGCGGGGGACAACAUUUGGAAACGAAUGCUAAUACCGCAUAAAAACUUUAAACACAAGUUUUAAGUUUGAAAGAUGCAAUUGCAUCACUCAAAGAUGAUCCCGCGUUGUAUUAGCUAGUUGGUGAGGUAAAGGCUCACCAAGGCGAUGAUACAUAGCCGACCUGAGAGGGUGAUCGGCCACAUUGGGACUGAGACACGGCCCAAACUCCUACGGGAGGCAGCAGUAGGGAAUCUUCAGCAAUGGACGAAAGUCUGACCGAGCAACGCCGCGUGAGUGCAGAAGGUUUUCGGAUCGUAAAACUCUGUUGGUAGAGAAGAACGAUGGUGAGAGUGGAAAGCUCAUCAAGUGACGGUAACUACCCAGAAAGGGACGGCUAACUACGUG
rnacentral:rRNA from 1 species